rnacentral:piRNA from 1 species
UCCCCAGUUGGAGUAUUCUUUUGCAUGACGC